UCGUAACAAGGUUUCCGUAGGUGAACCUGCGGAAGGAUCAUUAUAGUAUUCUAUUGCCAGCGCUUAAUUGCGCGGCGAUAAACCUUACACACAUUGUCUAGUUUUUUUGAACUUUGCUUUGGGUGCAUCAGCCUAGCUGCGUGCCCAAAGGUCUAAACACAUUUUUUUAAUGUUAAAACCUUUAACCAAUAGUCAUGAAAAUUUUUAACAAAAAUUAAAAUAUUCAAAACUUUCAACAACGGAUCUCUUGGUUCUCGCAACGAUGAAGAACGCAGCGAAAUGCGAUACGUAUUGUGAAUUGCAGAUUUUCGUGAAUCAUCGAAUCUUUGAACGCACAUUGCACCCUCUGGUAUUCCAGAGGGUAUGCCUGUUUGAGCGUCAUUUCUCUCUCAAACCUUCGGGUUUGGUAUUGAGUGAUACUCUGUCAAGGGUUAACUUGAAAUAUUGACUUAGCAAGAGUGUACUAAUAAGCAGUCUUUCUGAAAUAAUGUAUUAGGUUCUUCCAACUCGUUAUAUCAGCUAGGCAGGUUUAGAAGUAUUUUAGGCUCGGCUUAACAACAAUAAACUAAAAGUUUGACCUCAAAUCAGGUAGGACUACCCGCUGAACUUAAGCAUAUC
rnacentral:misc_RNA from 1 species